AUGAAAACAAAAAAAUAUUGAUUUCUAACCCGUUGUUUAAAGAUUGACAAGGAAGACCCCUCCAAAAUCAACUGCAAAAAAAACAAAAAAAAAAUUAUCAACUGCAAUGACCCUAUUACGAGCAGCUUUCGAUAUUGUGUAUAAGGAAGAAAGAUGAGCAUUUAAGAGAGAGAGAGAAGAGUGAUUUUAACAUUUGAAAGCGGCAGAGACUUCGACAUUUGGAUGCCUAGAAGCGUACUUGGAGUAGAGUUGAAUUCUAAUAGAAUAUUCAAGGUGGAGAAGAACUAUCAAUAAUUCAGGAAAUUGAAAUGAUUUAGCAAGAUGCUGCUUGAUUCGUUCUGUAGCCUUUUGAUUCUUUUACAAUUCAAGUGAACUAAAUUAAAAGUUUAAUCAAGAUGGGGUGCCUCAAUCAGCAGAGUGAAGUCAAUACUCCAUUUUCAGAACCCAAUGCUUGCACUGUAAAGCCUUCCAAAGGUGCCUUAGCAUGUAUGGUAAAUUCAGAAAUUGGUGCUGUUUUGGCCGUUAUGAGGAGAAAUGUAAGGUGGGGGUUCCGUUAUGCUGCUGCUGAUGAUCAGCUAGAGCAUCCUCUCAUACAUUCUUUCAAGGAAUUACGGAAAAGUGUCUUCUCAUGGAAACAUCACUGGAACAGAGUUGAUCCACUCCUAUAUCUUCAGCCUUUCUUGGAUGUGAUUCAAUCUGAUGAAACUGGUGCACCAAUAACCGGUGUUGCACUGUCUUCUGUUUACAAAUUCUUAACCCUUGAAAUAAUUGAUUCAUCUAUCAUGAAUGUGGAGAAAGCUUUAUAUCAGAUAGUUGAGACCGUGACAAGUUGCCGCUUUGAAGUGACUGAUCCUGCCUCUGAGGAAGUGGUACUGAUGAAGAUACUUCAGGUUCUUUUGGCUUGCAUGAAAAGUAAGGCAUCAGAAAAUUUAAGUAAUCAUCACGUGUGCAACAUUGUAAACACUUGCUUUCGGCUUGUUCAUCAAGCUAGUGCCAAAAGUGAACUGCUGCAGAGAAUAGCAAGACACACAAUGCAUGAAUUGGUGAGACACAUUUUCGCUCACCUGCCUAACAUUAUCAGCAAAGCGCAUGAAUUUGAUCAGCAAAGCAGAUUGUGUGCUGACUCAGAGGCAGGCGAAAAACAACAUGUCAAUGGUUGUGUUAGUGCAGAAUCCACUGGUAAGUCAGCACCAGCUGCAGUUCCUUCCAAUGCAUCAGACAAGAGGGAUGGAACAACAGAUGAAAAAACUCAAAAAGAGGAGAUUGCUAGUAAUAGAGAAAACCCUAUGAUGGAUCCAUAUGGGGUCCCCUGCAUGGUGGAGAUAUUUCAUUUCCUGUGUUCUCUUCUGAAUGUGAUGGAGUCCAUUGAAAUUGGUUCCAGAUCCAACCCUAUAGCAUAUGAUGAAGAUGUUCCCUUGUUUGCACUGGGGUUAAUUAAUUCAGCCAUAGAAGUAAGUGGUGCUUCAUCUGGGAAUCAUCCUGAGUUAUUGGCUCUGAUACAGAAAGACUUGUUCCACAAUCUGAUGCGUUUUGGCUUGUCUAUGAGUCCUUUAAUUCUUUCAACAGUUUGUAGCAUUGUUCUAAAUUUGUAUCAUCAUAUGCGUAUUAAGUUAAAGCUACAGCUUGGAACUUUCUUCUCUGGUGUGUUACUGAGGAUUGCCCAAAGCAAGCAUGGAACUUAUUAUCAACAACAAGAGGUUGCCAUAGAAACUCUUGUUGACUUCUGCAGACAGCCCAUGUUCAUGCCUGAGAUGUAUGCAAAUUUUGAUUGUGACAUAUCUUGCAGCAAUGUAUUUGAAGACCUUGCAAACCUGUUAUCCAAGAGUUCCUUUCCGGUCAACAUCCCACUAUCAGCUUUAAAUACGCUCGCCUUAGAUGGUCUAAUUGCCAUGAUGCAGGGAAUGGCCGAGAGAAUUAGCCAGGAUUCAUUUGUUUCUGAUCAAGCUUCAAUAGAUCCGGGUGAAUAUAGAUCGUUUUGGACAGAGAUAUGCAAGGACUACAGUGAUCCUAAUCAUUGGGUUCCAUAUCUUCGUAAGAUGAAGGUCAUAAAGAGGAAAUUGUUGAUUGGAGUUGAUCACUUUAACCGAGAUCCAAAAAAGGGUAUGGAUUUUCUCCAAGGAGUGCAUUUGUUACCUGAGAAACGUGACCCAAAAAGUGUAGCAUGCUUUUUCAGGUAUACGACUGGCUUAGAUAAGAAUCUUAUCGGGGAUUUCCUAGGAAGUCAUGAAGACUUCUAUAUUGAAGUGCUUCACGAAUUUGCAGGAACAUUUGAUUUUCGGGACAUGAACUUAGACAUAGCCUUGCGAAUCUUUUUAGAAACCUUCAGAUUGCCUGGAGAGUCUCAGAAAAUACAGAGGGUGCUUGAGGCAUUUGCUGAGCGAUAUUACGAGCAGUCGCAAAAUAUUCUGGCUGACAAAGAUGCUGCACUAUUGUUGUCAUAUUCAAUUAUUAUGCUCAACACAGAUCAACACAAUGCCCAGGUAAAAAAGAAGAUGACGGAGGAAGAUUUCAUCCGGAACAACCGGAGGAUAAACGGAGGAAAUGACCUCCCUCGGGAAUUUUUGUCCGAGCUUUACCGCUCCAUUUGUGAGGAUGAGAUCCGAAUUACCCCAGAUCGAGGUGCUGGUAUUCCAAUGAUGGCACCAAGCCAUUGGAUUGGUCUAGUUCAUAAAUCAAGGCAAACUUCCCCAUAUAUUAUCUGUGAUCCUGGUCCAUAUCUUGAUUAUGAUAUGUUUGCUAUGUUGUCUGGUCCUGCAAUUGCUUCCAUAUCUGUGGUUUUUGAUAAUGUGGAGCAAGAGGAUGUUUGGGAAACAUGUAUCAGUGGAUUCCUUGCCAUUGCCAGAAUUGCAGCUGCCUAUAGCUUCGAUGAUGUGUUAAAUGAUUUAGUAGUAUCUCUUUGCAAGUUCACUACCCUUUUGCUUCCAUCUUAUGUUGAUGAAUUUACUGUUGCAUUUGCGGAAGAUGGUAAAGCUAGAUUGGCCACAUUAGCAGUCUUUACAUUAGCGAACGAAUAUGGAGAUCACAUUCGCUUUGGUUGGAAGAACAUCCUAGACUGCAUUUUGUGUUUGCACAAAUUGGGCCUUCUCCCCACACGUCUAUUUAGUGAUGCUGCUGAUGACUUGGAGUCUACUGGUGAUGCAGACCCUAGGAGACCUACUGCACUUUUUCCAUCACCAUCUCGUUUUCCUUCAUCGGCUCCAUCAAGAAAAUCAUCUGGCUUAAUGGGGGUGUUUAGCCAACUAUUAUAUCUUGAUGAAGAACCUGCACCACAGCCAAAUGAACAACAGCUUGCCGCACGUCAGCAGACUCUUCAGACAAUUCAGAGCUGUCACAUUGAUAGCAUCUUUGCCGAGAGUAAAUUUUUGCAAGCUGAGUCCCUGUUACAGCUUGUUCGGGCCGUUGUGUUGGCUGCAGGCAAGCCUCGCAAAAGAAACAAUUCUCUGGAAGACGAAGAGACUGCAGUAUUUUGUCUAGAGUUGCUUAUUGCUAUCACAAUAAAUAACCGUGACAGAAUAAUGCUUCUUUGGCAGGUCGUCUAUGACCACAUAGCAAGUGUUGUCCAUUUAACAACAAUGCCAUCUACUUUGGUAGAGAAGGCUGUGUUUGGUCUGCUUCGCAUAUGCCAAAGGUUACUUCCGUACAAGGAAAAUCUCACAGAUGAGCUUCUCAAGUCUCUGCAACUUAUCUUAAAGCUUGAUGCUCGGGUUGCUGAUGCAUUUCUUGAACAGAUAACCCGGGAGGUUAUGCACCUUGUCAAAGCAAAUGCUAUGCAGAUACGAUCUCAUAUAGGCUGGCGGACAAUCAUAUCUCUGCUUUCUUUUACUGCUCGGCAUCCCGAAGCAUCUGAAACAGGUUUUGAUACACUAGUGUUCAUCAUGGCAGAUGGGGCCCACCUCUUGCCUGCUAAUUAUGUUCUCUGUUUGAAUGUGGCGGCGCAGUUUGCUGAUUCUCAUGUUGGGAAUGUUGAUCAAUCUGUGAGAUCUUUAGACCUGAUGGCUGGAUCACUUAUCUCUCUUAUUAGAUGGUCUCACCAGGCGAAGGAAGCACUUGGGCAGGAGGCUGCUGUAAAAAUGACCCAGGAUAUAACAGAAAUGUGGCUCAGGCUGAUACAGGGACUGCGUAAAUUUUGUAAAGACAGGAGAGAAGAGGUAAGGGAUCAUGCCAUCUUGAUGCUGCAGAUGUGCUUGACUGGAGUUGAUGGGAUCCAUAUCCCUGAAGAUUUGUGGUUGCAAUGUUUUGAUCAGGUGAUAUUUACAUUACUAGAUGAAUUACUCAAUCUUGCCCAGUCGAGCUUUGUGAAGGAUUAUAGGAGCACUGAAGGAGCAAUAGUUUUGGCACUGAAGCUCAUGUUCAAAAUGUUUUUACAGUCUUUGAAUCAUCUCUCCCAGUCGACAUCCUUCUGCAAACUGUGGUUAGGGGUCUUGAGUCUAACAGAGAGAUGCAUGAAGGUGAAAUUUAAAGGGAAACGGAGUGAAAAGAUCCCUGAACUCAUUUCCGAGCUCCUAAAGAACACUCUACUUGUCAUGAAAACAAGUGGAAUUCUGGGGCCAAGUAAUCCUGUAGGAGGGGACAGCUUCUGGAAGUCAACAUGGUUGCAUGUCCACAAAAUAUGCCCAUCCCUUCAGACAGAAAUCUUUCCCACAAACGAAGCAGAACAGUCGGAAAAACAGCAUAUCCAAGAAGGUUGUAGUCCUCUGGCAGAGGGAAAUGUUAUCAUCUCAUCUGGUAAUAGCACAGCUUGAAGACGAAGUUCCCAUCGGGCAGGUCUUUGUACAGUGAAAGUGACAUAUUCUGCGUCAGCACUAUCAUUAGCGUAAGCAGAUGAUGAAUUUUGCAGCUGAGAACCAGUUAAGCUUUAUAGAAGCAGCAUUUGGGAGCAAAUCUGAAUUCAGCUUCUACGCGACAAUGGUGAAGAUCAUGGUGGCGAGGAUAAAAUUGCUGAGAAACAAGGAGGUGGUUGUCAGGCAAUUGAUGAGAUACAGACAUUGGGCUUAAAUUUUGGUUGCAAGCAAUGGCUGUGAAUCCAUCGGGGUUGGAGAAUUGAAUGCUGGAGCGGCCAAACUUGUGUUAUUACUCAAAUUAUUGUGAAAGGUUAGAGAGACUUCAUUAGGUUAUUGCAGAAAAUUCAAUAUUCCAAGCUAAAGCGGAACUUGAAGAUAUUUACUGUCACUGUACUCUGAUCAAACUAAAAGGUCACAGGUUUAGUGCUGUAGAGUGGUGCUAAUGCUUUCCAUCUUUUGAUGUCAUGCGCUGGUACUGUUUUGUCACACAGAAUAGUUGAUUUGUCUUGGUUCUAAUUUCAUCAUUUGUUUUUCCUCCUUAUGCUAAUUGCUCUUUGGGUAUUUGAACAAUCUGACCGUUUGUAUUCAGGGAUUGUGGUUCUUGUUGGGCUUUUGGUGCUGCUGAGUCGUUGUCUGAUUGUUUCUGAUUCUUAAAUAAAUUCAUUCCUUCAUGCAAAGACUUGCAAGUUUAUUCUAGUUAUGGUCACUAAUGAUUCAAUUUUUAUAUGUGAGGCAGAAUAUCUCUAUGUGUCAGCAAAUGAUAUCGUAGCAUGCAUAUAUUGUAGGAUAUUUAUACCCAUUUUAAAAAAAAGAUAACUAUUAUGCUCGACUAAUAAAAAUUUUCCUGUCAGUGUGACCCUUAGUUUGAUAAAAAGGGAUAUACCCUGGAUAUCAAUUCCGCCGCAGUUCAAGAGGAAGUGUGUUAACAAGAAUCUACUCCGGAGUAAGUCCGAGCAUUUUUACGUCAAUGCUUUCCUGAACGUGGAACUUGAUGUCUGUGAUGCUUUCCUCGACGCCUCAAUGUGAUUACUAAUUCUUCAAGUAAAACACUAAUUAAAUAGGAUUCAAGUUUCUGAAGAUUUGGGGAAUAAUAACAUUUUAAAGCUUCAUAUUCUUUCCCUCCUAAGUUAGCCGCAACAUUUGUAAUCUGCAACUGUUCCACAAUCUUAAUGAGAGUAAAAGUACUCUUGCCUA